rnacentral:rRNA from 1 species
AUUGAACGCUGGCGGCAGGCCUAACACAUGCAAGUCGAGCGGAUGAGGGGAGCUUGCUCCUUGAUUCAGCGGCGGACGGGUGAGUAAUGCCUAGGAAUCUGCCUGGUAGUGGGGGACAACGUUUCGAAAGGAACGCUAAUACCGCAUACGUCCUACGGGAGAAAGCAGGGGACCUUCGGGCCUUGCGCUAUCGGAUGAGCCUAGGUCGGAUUAGCUAGUUGGUGGGGUAAUGGCUCACCAAGGCGACGAUCCGUAACUGGUCUGAGAGGAUGAUCAGUCACACUGGAACUGAGACACGGUCCAGACUCCUACGGGAGGCAGCAGUGGGGAAUAUUGGACAACGGGCGAAAGCCUGAUCCAGCCAUGCCGCGUGUGUGAAGAAGGUCUUCGGAUUGUAAAGCACUUUAAGUUGGGAGGAAGGGCAGUAAGCUAAUACCUUGCUGUUUUGACGUUACCGACAGAAUAAGCACCGGCUAACUCUGUGCCAGCCGCCGCCGUAACAC